GCCAUGCNGCGUGNAGGAAGANUGCCCUAUGGGUUGUAAACUGCUUUUAUACAGGAAGAAACACUGCUACGUGUAGCANCUUGNCGGUACUGUAAGAAUAAGGAUCGGCUAACUCCGUGCCAGCAGCCGCGGUAAUACGGAGGAUCCAAGCGUUAUCCGGAAUCAUUGGGUUUAAAGGGUCCGUAGGUGGAUAAUUAAGUCAGAGGUGAAAUCCUGCAGCUCAACUGUAGAAUUGCCUUUGAUACUGGUUAUCUUGAGUUAUUAUGAAGUAGUUAGAAUAUGUAGUGUAGCGGUGAAAUGCAUAGAUAUUACAUAGAAUACCAAUUGCGAAGGCAGAUUACUAAUAAUAUACUGACACUGAUGGACGAAAGCGUGGGGAGCGAACAGGAUUAGAUACCCUGGUAG
rnacentral:rRNA from 1 species